AACGAACGCUGGCGGCAGGCCUAACACAUGCAAGUCGAGCGCCCCGCAAGGGGAGCGGCGGACGGGUGAGUAACGCGUGGGAACGUGCCCUCUUCUACGGAAUAGCCUCGGGAAACUGGGAGUAAUACCGUAUACGCCCUUCGGGGGAAAGAUUUAUCGGAGGAGGAUCGGCCCGCGUUGGAUUAGGUAGUUGGUGGGGUAAUGGCCUACCAAGCCGACGAUCCAUAGCUGGUUUGAGAGGAUGAUCAGCCACACUGGGACUGAGACACGGCCCAGACUCCUACGGGAGGCAGCAGUGGGGAAUCUUAGACAAUGGGCGCAAGCCUGAUCUAGCCAUGCCGCGUGAGCGAUGAAGGCCUUAGGGUUGUAAAGCUCUUUCAGGGGGGAAGAUAAUGACUGUACCCCCAGAAGAAGCCCCGGCUAACUCCGUG
rnacentral:rRNA from 1 species